AACGAACGCUGGCGGCAUGCCUAACACAUGCAAGUCGAACGAGACCUUCGGGUCUAGUGGCGCACGGGUGCGUAACGCGGGGGAACCUGCCCUUGGGUUCGGAAUAACUCCCCGAAAGGGGUGCUAAUACCGGAUAAUGUCUUCGGACCAAAGAUUUAUCGCCUUUGGAUGGGCCCGCGUUGGAUUAGCUAGUUGGUAGGGUAAAAGCCUACCAAGGCGACGAUCCAUAGCUGGUCUGAGAGGAUGAGCAGCCACACUGGGACUGAGACACGGCCCAGACUCCUACGGGAGGCAGCAGUGGGGAAUAUUGGACAACGGGCGGAAGCCUGAUCCAGCACGGCCGCGUGAGUGAUGAAGGCCUUAGGGUUGUAAAGCUCUUUUACCCGGGAUGAUAAUGACAGUACCGGGAGAAUAAGCACCGGCUAACUCCGUG
rnacentral:rRNA from 1 species